GACGAACGCUGGCUGCGUGCUUAACACAUGCAAUUCGAACGGAAAGGCCUAGCUUGCUGGGUCCUCGAGUGGCGAACGGGUGAGUAACUCGUGGGUUAUCUGCCCUUCAUUCUGGGAUACUCCCUGUAAACUGGGUCUAUUCCCGUCUAUGACCUACUGCCGCAUGGUGUUUGGUGGAAACCUUUUGCGGUGUAGCAUAGUCCCGCUGCCUAUCAGCUUGUUGGUUGGGUAAUGGCCUACCAAGCCGACGACGGGUAGCCGACCUGUGAGGGUGAUCGGGCAAACAGAGACUGAGAGAAGACCCAGACGCGGACGGGAAGCAGCAGGGGGGAAUAAUAAACGAGGAGCGGAAGUCUGAUGCAGCGACGCCGAGUGAGAGAUGACGGCCUUCGGGUUGUAAACAGCGUUAACCAGAGAAGGAGCGUGAGUGACGGUACAGGAAGAAGAAGAACCGGCCAACUACGUG
rnacentral:rRNA from 1 species